rnacentral:rRNA from 1 species
ACCUGAGAGGGUGAUCGGCCACACUGGGACUGAGACUCGGCCCAGACUCCUACGGGAGGCAGCAGUAGGGAAUCUUCCGCAAUGGACGAAAGUCUGACGGAGCAACGCCGCGUGAGUGAUGAAGGUUUUCGGAUCGUAAAGCUCUGUUGUUAGGGAAGAACAAGUGCCGUUCAAAUAGGGCGGCACCUUGACGGUACCUAACCAGAAAGCCACGGCUAACUACGUCCAGCAGCCGCGGUAAUACGUAGGUGGCAAGCGUUGUCCGGAAUUAUUGGGCGUAAAGGGCUCGCAGGCGGUUUCUUAAGUCUGAUGUGAAAGCCCCCGGCUCAACCGGGGAGGGUCAUUGGAAACUGGGGAACUUGAGUGCAGAAGAGGAGAGUGGAAUUCCACGUGUAGCGGUGAAAUGCGUAGAGAUGUGGAGGAACACCAGUGCCGAAGGCGACUCUCUGGUCUGUAACUGUCGCUGAGGAUCGAAAGCGUGGGGAGCGACCAGGAUUAGAUACCCUGGUAGUCCACC